UCGAGCGCGGCGGGCAGGUACUUCUCCCCGUUGUAGACGGGGACGGCGACGGUGGCUCGGGGCACGGUUUCCUCGCGGUCGGG
rnacentral:tRNA from 1 species